AGGUCGCCUCAAUCCCUUGUUUUUAAUUAAAAACCUGAAUGGUAAGAACCAAAAGUUUUAGUCACCUUCUUGACAAUAAACGUUUUGAUAAUUUACAUAUGGGAACUUUCAAUAUUUAGAGGCAAAAGAUAUCACUUUGAUUUUGAUGGAUGAGUUUAAAACAUCCGACCGACAAUUAUGAUUAAUCGUAAGAUCCAAAGUCGGUUUACUUUUCUAAUUGAGUAUUGGGUAACUUGAAUUUUGAUUCAAAAGUCAAACUUUGCACAUGGACGAGUGUGUCCCCAACUUUUCAAAAGUCCCCAAAUUGAGUUAACCCCUAACCCUAGAUUUUUCAAUUCACGAUGAUUAGUAGUGGACACUUCGGUUAUUUUAUCGGUUUGGUUUGGAUUCGGUUUGAUUAUUUUGGUUUUAGAAUUUUUUCAACUGAAAUAAACCUUAAUUAGUUUGGAUUGAUUUCGGUUCGGUUUGUAUUCAGCUUGGUUUGUGUUUUGAUUCGGUUUAAUCGGGUUCCCUUAAACGGAUAGCAGACAUUGAUGUUCUUUCGAACUAUACCCUUCUUUGAGUAAUAAUUGGGAAUUAUUUCCGUUCAUGUGUGUUUAUAGUGUUUAUAGACUCUUGUAGACUAUCUAACUAAAGCGGUUGAUUUCGAAAAAAUGGCAUAAAGAUUCUCUAACUAUCCAAACUUAAAACUUUAAAGAUUCUUACGAGCUAGAUGAGGUGACAGAAGAAUAAGAUUGUGCAGAUAGACAGUACUUGAUGCAGCCAAUUCAAGUAAAAUAUUUUGAUGGUAGAAACUACCUAAAGUUGUAUUUAAAAAAAAAACUUAACUGCAUCUUUAACAAAAAAAAUCAUCUUCUUGAUUUUGAUCGCAUAAACUUAAGUUCCAUUUUUGUGGCAUGGUUAAUAUAUUUAUGGUGGUUGUUUAGGAAUAUAAAAGGAAAAAUGAUUAUUAGUUACAUGAACAAUAUGACACCACAUGAUUACGUAUCUAGAUAAAAAUAAUGUAACUAAAAAAAAAUAUACAAACUAUAAAAUGUAUUGAUUUAUUACUAGAGAAUUUCAAAUGAUGUUUAACAUGUUUUAUCUGUUUUAAUAUAUUAUUUUUUUUGAUAUUAUGACUGUUUGAUUUAUGUGUAUUGAUUUUAUUUUAUCAUUUGAAUAUGUGUUACGAUUUGUUUUUCAAAUAAACUUUUUAGUGAUGGUCAAAAUUUUCUAAUAUCAAAAUUACAUAUGUGGUGUUAGUAACAUAAAACAUAUUAGUUCAUUAGAUGUUUUUUUUUGUAAUUAUGUAGUUUGUGGUUUGAAUACAUUAUUUUAUUAUAAAUGCAUGAUAAUGUGGCAGUGUAUUGUUUGUUUAUAUGUUUAUCAUUUUUCAGUAAAAAUACAGCCAUAUGGAAUUGGCUCAUUCCAACCGGUAUGUAAAGGAAUAAAAAAAAUUAGUGUUUUUUUAUUAUCUUUAUUAUGUCAAGUAUUAUGUAUUGAGAACAUAUGAGUUAAUUAGUGUUUACGACUUUACUACUAAAGAUAAUUUAUUGAAGUGUCUUGAGUUGAUAUUAUUUGAGAAAAAAAAAUUAAAAAUAAAAAUAAUAUAUUGGUUUAUUAAAGGAUAAAAAGCUAUUUUAAGGAAGUUAAAAAAAUAAUUUAAAAUUUUUAAUUUAAAAUGAUGAUCAAAGUUUAAACUAAUUUUAUGUAUAUGAGAGAGACCUCAUAAGCAGAGAUAAAUGUAUGAUAAUGUGGCAGUGUAUUGUUUGUACAUAUGUUUAACAUUUUCCAAUAAAAAUACAGCCAUAUGAAAUUGGCAUCACAAUGAAGAAGGUUCAUCAUUCCAACUGGUAUGGAAAUGAAUGAAAAUGUACCAUGGGAAUGGAACAUGGUUUUAGUGCGUUUCUUUUUUAUUUUUUUUAUUAUGUCAAGUUUUAUGUAUUGAGAAUAUGUGGGUUAAUUAGUGUUGAAAGUGUCUUGAGUUGAUAUUAUUUGAGAAUAUUUUUUUUUAAUAUAAUACAUUGGUUUAUAAAGGAUAUAAAGCUAUUUUAAGGGAGUUAAAAAAAUUAUUUUAAAAAUUAAACUUUAAACUGAUGAUCAAAGUUUAAACUAAUUUAUGUAUACGAGAGAGAGAGAUCUCAAAAGCAUAGAUGAUUAGCAAGCUUUUCUUGACAUCAUCCUUAGUGUUUCCAAUUGUUGAUGGAUGAAUCAUUAAUGUAACACCUGACAUUUUCUUAAUAGAUCCGAUGUUUUGGACAAAAACUCAUGGAUUAUAAACUGAUCGGUUCUAGUUUCGCUGAAAAUACGUUGACAUGGAAUUGAUAGCAGAUUGAAGAAUGUUCAUCAUUCCAACCGGAAUAGAAAUGAAUGAAAACGUAUCAUGAGAAUGGGAAGUGGUUUUAUUGCGGUUGUUUUUAGUAUCUUUAUUAUGUCAAGUUUUAUAUACUGAUGUAUUGAGAACAUGUGGGUCAAUUAGUGUUUACGACUUUACUAGUAAAGAUGAUUUCGUGAUAUAUCUUAAAUUAUUAUUAUUAAAAGAUAGAAAGCUAAUUUAAACUGAUGAUCGAAAUUUAAAUUAAUUUUAUGUUUUCUUGAAACAUAUAAAAACUGUAACCUAACAUCAAUAAAAGAUAGUUUUUUUUUAGCAAAAAAAUAGAGUUUUUCUAGGCAAAAAAAAGUUAAAAUCAGGAAAUUUUUAUAGUGGAUUAUUAUUGUUCACCAACAACAGCAUGUAUUAAUUAAUUAAAAGUGCCUUUAUUUCGUGUGAAUGAAUUUCAAGAAAACAAUAAAAUAAAAGAGAAAAAGAGACCAAUUUAUUAAAUGCCAACAAAAAAAAAGUAAAUAGCAAUUAUUCCCCUCCGCUUGUUUCUUUCAUGACUGUUGUCAUUGCUGGAAUCCCACUAUAUAAAAGCUACUAAAUUGAAGCAAUUCUAAGCUGUCCACGUCAGCUAAAAUAUUCACAACCAAUCAUUCAGCCACGUCAUUUAACCUACCUCGCCGUCUGCGUCACCAAAUCGUCACGGUUUCAAAUCUUCUUCUACUUUCUUCAUCAAUCUCUGUUAUUAAUCUCUCGACUUAACGCAUUAUCUUAAAUCAUUCUUUCAAUUUCCAGAAUCAAUCACUAUAGAUUUGUUCUCCGUCCGUUUCAAAGAUCCAUAACACCACCACUAUAAAUCUGCGGGAAGUACAGCCCUCACCACAUAUCGUCAAAGCAAUCCAUUCACUCAAAUAUGAUAUCUUUGUCAGUUGACAUGAUUCAGAUUACCAUAAGAUUUCUAAGAAGAGAGCAGAAGAGAUCGUAAAACUACAAACCCAACGACGAUGACGAAGAAGAUGAAUCGAUGAAGCCACAAGUGGUAACCAUUCAUAAGAUCUUCUCUGAUGCUAACAUGCCGCCGAAAUUUGACGAAAUCGAUGAGAAAGAAGGGUCCAACGAUGAUUCUGAUGGUGAAGACCACAGAAGAUUCAAUCUGGAAUCACCGAGGCUUUUGUAUAACUGAUGAUUUCAAGACGCAUUCAAAAGUUCUCUCAAGUCUUUUAUGAAGAAUAAAAGAGAUGAUGCAAUGCACAGAAGCGUCUUAUUGCUCAGAUGCCAGCAGAAGAGUAAGUUUGAAUGAAGGCCAAGGAUCACCACAGCGCCUCUCACCUCUUCCUCGCUUUCUAUCCGUUGGAAGGACUUUCCGACUAUCACUCCGCGGCCGAGUUAUUGGUAAGGCUAUAUCCCUUAAGCAUCAUCCUCACAGUUUUUAAUAAUCCAGAGAAAUGUUAUUUGCAGUAUAGUGAACGUCUGAUUGAAUUCAUUUUAAAACAAGUGUAUGUAAGUUGGGCUCCUUCGAUUCUGGGAAAGCUUGGAAUGUGAAGAAAAGUGGAGAACUAAUGGGAGUUGAUCUGAUACUGGUUGAUGGAAAGGUAUAUGCGCUUAAAGUCUGUUUUGAUUAUUAAUUUGGCACCUGUAGAAGAAAAAAACGAUUCUUGAUGGUACUAGGAGCAAGCAAAGCUUCAGAUUUGCGGACGCCCAUGUUUUGCUCCUAUUCGAAGAGGUCCCUGAGAGCAGAAACUUCAUCCCCAAGGUUAUGAGGAGUUGAUGUCAUUAGCUAAUACCAAUUCCGAGUUGCCUGGUUUGUUUUAUUCACAUCGUUCCCAUUUUCUUAAUUAUUGAUAAUCAUCUCAUACAGGCCCAUAAUUCCAUAUGUUUUAUUCCAGAUAUUUUGGUAAGUUCAUGGAUUUUACUUCCACUUUCUAUGAAGAAACACAAAAAUACUCAGCGAAUUAUGGCCAACCUCCGCUUUCAGGGGUCAUACCAAACUAUUCCCUUCAUGUUGUUAAACUCUUUACGAAAACUUCUGCUUAAUCAUUUACUUGACUCCUCCACAGGGAGGUGAUAACAACCCUGGCCAUGAUAUUCCAGGAGCUGGAGCUGUAACAACAGACCCUUCUCAAAGUGUUGAAACAGGUAUUCAUGACAACAGCAACAGACCCAGUAACCAUGUGAUGGUGGAAAGCCUCUCAGGAACUGUUACUGAACCAAGUGACAUCCCUGUUUCAUCUGACAUGUCUUCUGCGGAGUCCGUCGAGGCAGUGUGUGCGCACUCUGCGAAGAAGCCACACCAUGGUUAAGCUUCAGAUUAUUGGAGUAGAUACAAGGUCGCUCAAUCUCACAACUGCUUUCUUAACCAGUUUUUAAAUUGUUUCAUAAACUGAAUAAGUAUCACUUUGAGCUAUUUUCCUCAGUGUUUUAACUUAUACGUUUAUUUCUUUUUCUCUAUGAAUUCUGCAUCUUUCUUUUUAAACAAUUUUGAACCGUAGAACUGGUUACAUAGACCAAUAUAUUGUUACUCCUACAAGCUGUUUCAUUUUCAUUUUCUGAAAAAUAUAUUCCGGAACUGAGAAAAGUGAGUUGUGAGAUA